UACGGAGGAGGCAAGCGUUAUCCGGAAUUAUUGGGCGUAAAGCGUCCGCAGGUGGCACCUCAAGUCUGCUGUCAAAGACCGGGGCUUAACCCCAGAAAGGCAGUGGAAACUGAAGUGCUAGAGUGCAGUAGGGGUAGAGGGAAUUCCCGGUGUAGCGGUGAAAUGCGUAGAGAUCGGGAAGAACAUCGGUGGCGAAAGCGCUCUGCUGGACUGCAACUGACACUCAGGGACGAAAGCUAGGGGAGCAAAUGGG
rnacentral:rRNA from 1 species